UUAAGUUCAGCGGGUAGUCCUACCUGAUUUGAGAUCGAACUUCAAGUAGUUGUCUUCACUGAGGAGAGACAUUUGUAAGCUCCGGCGAACCUCCGAAACCGGAGGGUACCUGGUCAACAACCACGAGCGUAGAUAGUUAUCACACCCGUGAUGCCGCCAAACACCGGCAAGCUGAUUCAUUUCAGAAGAGUUGACCAUAG
rnacentral:misc_RNA from 1 species